rnacentral:rRNA from 1 species
UACGAAGGGGGCUAGCGUUGCUCGGAAUCACUGGGCGUAAAGCGCGCGUAGGCGGGUCCUUAAGUCGGGGGUGAAAUCCUGGAGCUCAACUCCAGAACUGCCUCCGAUACUGAGGAUCUUGGAGUCCGGGAGAGGUGAGUGGAAUUGCGAGUGUAGAGGUGAAAGUCGUAGAUAUUCGCAAGAACACCAGUGGCGAAGGCGGCUCACUGGCCCGGUACUGACGCUGAGGUGCGAAAGCGUGGGGAGCAAACAGG